rnacentral:SRP_RNA from 1 species
CGCCAGUCCCCUCGCGACGAUAGAUUGUGAACCCCGUCAGGCCUGGAAGGGAGCAGCGGUAGCGGUUGAUUCGGGUGCCGGGGUGUGGCGGGCGCGG